UUAAGUGACGAUAGCCUAGGAGAUACACCUGUUCCCAUACCGAACACAGCAGUUAAGCCCUAGAACGCCUGAAGUAGUUGGGGGUUGCCCCCUGUUAGAUACGGUAGUCGCUUAGC
rnacentral:rRNA from 1 species